AUCCAGCUGAUGAGUCGCAAAUAGGAUGAAUCGCGUGUCCUGGAU
rnacentral:hammerhead_ribozyme from 1 species